CAUUUACACAACAUGGAGUCAAAGAACUCCCACACUAAUCUGAAUCCAUGUCAAAUAUUCUCUAAUUCACACAUACACUAGUCUGAAAUUCACACCUACUAACUAUGUCACAGUAAUACGAAAUUCACACUUGCUAAAUCUAUCACAAAACCUAAACUAGUUAUUUCACUUUCCUGGAUUAAAAGGCAAAGGAGCAACAUGUACCUAUGUGUGGAUCUUGGGCCAUUAGGCAAGGAGGCAAAGUGUUGUAGCUGCAGCAACUUCUUAAAAGUCAACAUUGAUCAUAUUUUUUAGGCCUUGAAAACACCACCAUAUAAAUGACAGCCAUGAAAUGAAGAACUUACCGGUAAGUAUAGUUAUCGGUGCAGCGCCACCCAUCAUUCUCAGAAAUUCAGAGAAAACUCAUUCAAAACUCUUGAUGGUUCCAUCACACACAAGCACUCCAGCCAGGAUAACACUCUGGAAAUGAUUAUUCACACCAAGGCCGAAAGGCUGUGUCAAAUGUUAACACAUCACCGAAAACGUGUACUGCAACCUGCUGCUCCCGCUUAC
rnacentral:lncRNA from 1 species